rnacentral:rRNA from 1 species
ACGAACGCUGGCGGCGUGCUUAACACAUGCAAGUCGAACGGUGACCUCGAGAGCUUGCUCUUGGGUGAUCAGUGGCGAACGGGUGAGUAACACGUGAGUAACCUGCCCCAGACUCUGGAAUAACCCCGGGAAACCGGAGCUAAUACCGGAUACGAGACGGAGCCGCAUGGCUACCGUUUGGAAAGUUUUUCGGUCUGGGAUGGACUCGCGGCCUAUCAGUUAGUUGGUGAGGUAACGGCUCACCAAGACGACGACGGGUAGCCGGCCUGAGAGGGCGACCGGCCACACUGGGACUGAGACACGGCCCAGACUCCUACGGGAGGCAGCAGUGGGGAAUAUUGCACAAUGGGCGAAAGCCUGAUGCAGCGACGCCGCGUGAGGGAUGAAGGCCUUCGGGUUGUAAACCUCUUUCAGCAGGGAAGAAGCGAAAGUGACGGUACCUGCAGAAGAAGCACCGGCUAACUACGU